rnacentral:rRNA from 1 species
GAUGAACGCUGGCGGUCUGCUUAACACAUGCAAGUCGAACGGGCUCUUUCGGGAGCUAGUGGCGGACGGGUGAGUAACGCGGGAGAAUCUGCCCUUUGGAGGGGGAUCACGGUUGGAAACGACCGCUAAUACCCCAUGUGCCGAGAGGGAAAAAGUAAUUCGCCAAGGGAUGGGCUCGCGUCGGGUUAGCUAGUUGGUGGGGUAAGAGCCCACCAAGGCGACGAUCCGUAGCUGGUCUGAGAGGAUGACCCGCCAGACUGGGACUGGGACACGGCCCAGACUCCUACGGGAGGCAGCAGUGGGGAAGUUUCCGCAAUGGGCGCAAGCCUGACGGGGCAAGACCGCGGGAGGGAAGACGGUCUGUGGAUUGUAAACCUCUUUUGACAGGGAAGACGUACUGACGGUACCUGUCGAAUCAGCCACGGCUAACUCCGUG